rnacentral:lncRNA from 1 species
AUAACUAGUACUACUGGUAAUACUACUGCUUACCCCGUCACGAAACAAAAUGAGCCAUGUUAUUCGAAAACUAUAACUUCGAUUUCUAAUUCAAUUGCACAAAAAGAAAUAAACAUUAAAAGACUACAUGUAUUAGCAAAUACAAUACUAGCUGAUAACAGUACAAUACACCCAUGGAACAAUGGUAUACAACAAAAACAUAACUUAAUAAUAAACGAAGAAAAUAAUAUUAAAAGUUUUAAUUAUUUAUUACCAUACAAUUUUAUUAAUAAUCAAAAAGUAAUACAUGAAAAAAAAAAAAAAAAACUGGAAGAUAAAAAAAAUAUAUUUGAAAAUGCCGACAAUUGUUCUGUUCCAUUGGGUGGAAAUUGUAGUAAUUACUUCAAAUCUAGUUACCAAAUAAAAGAAAACAAAUCAUCGCAUGUGCCUUUUUAUUCUCUUUAUGUUAAUGAAACAGGCUAUAGUAGUAACAGUCGUAACAACCGUAGUAAUCAGAAUAAUAGUGAUAGUAAAAUCAAUAACAAUUUGCAUGAUACUAUUGAUAAUAAUCAUGUAAAAAAUGGUACUACUUAUAUUGUCAGUCGUAGUGAUUGUAGUAGUAGUAGUAGUAAUAGUACGGCUUAUAAUAAAAGAUGUGACAAUAUUAAUAGCAACAGUGUAAACAAUUUAAACAGUAUGAAUUACAGCUGCAUUAGUCAAAUAAAUGAAUCAAAAUGUAAAUUAAAUAAUAAUGAUACCUGUUCUGAUUGUAUCAAUAUAUUUCGUAAUAAUGAAAUGAUAAAUAACACUUUUGAUUGUAUUAAAUCAGCUAGUCAUAAAAAGGAUAUUUGUAUAUUAAAAAAAAAUAAAAUAAAAAAAAAUAUAUCAGUUAUUAACAUUUUUGAUGAAUUUCUUGAUAUCUAUCUUUUGUUUCGCUUACGAGGUGGAAAAGGUGGAUUUGGAGCUAAUUUAAGAAAUAAAAAAAAAAAAAAAAAAAAAAAAAAACACAAGUAAUAAUAACAUAAAUGACGCUUCCAGAACUUUAAAAGGUAAUCGAGUAUUAUUAGAUAACAUCAUAAAAUCAACUGAAAAUUUAUUAACAAAAAAAAAAAUGGAGCAAAAUAUAAUUGAUAAAUUUAAUAGUGUUUCACACAUUGCAAUUGAUAAUACCUCACAUGACAAUAGCACUAGUGCCAACGAUGGUGGGGAUAACAAUAGUAGCAACAAUCAUACUAAUGGUAUCAAACAAUUACAAAUUUACAAUUAUCCAGAAGCAGCAACAAACCAAAAACAACAGAAUGAAGAACAAAUUUUAUCUAAUAAGGAAAAGGAAAACUUAUAUGACAUGGUAGCGACUGGAAUAUUACAUGAGAAAGAAAAAAAAAAAAUCAAAAAAAAUAAAAUACAAAAAAAAAAAUCUGAAAAAACUAA